rnacentral:rRNA from 1 species
UACGUAGGUGGCGAGCGUUUGUCCGGAUUUACUGGGCGUAAAGAGCGCGCAGGCGGCCUGAUCAGUCGAAUGUGAAAGCCCCCGGCUUAACUGGGGAGGGUCAUUCGAUACUGUCAAGCUAGAGUGCAGAAGGGGCAAUCGGAAUUCUUGGUGUAGCGGUGAAAUGCGUAGAUAUCAAGAGGAACACCUGAGGUGAAGACGGGUUGCUGGGCUGACACUGACGCUGAGGCGCGAAAGCCAGGGGAGCAAACGGG